GGCUCCGUCCCGCCCUCCCUCGGCCUCUGCGGACGCGACCCACGCAGACCACAGCCGAGCCCGCCGGACCCCGGGACUACGGAAGCCAUCCCGUCCGGCCACCCACACCCGCGCCGCGGCUGGGGCUUGGGUUGGGGACUGUGGCGGCGAAGAAGCCGGGGCAUACAACUUAGGAUUCAUAACUACAUAUAUACGGAUAGAAGUGCAUGAACAGAAAAUCUGCCCUUCUGGAAUACCAAAUGCAAAAUUAAAGUGACUACAAGCAGAAUUUGGAGAAAAAAAUAAAAGAUGCAAUAUAGUUUUUAAAAUCAUUGUUAAAAUAUAAUGAGUCUGUACUUUGCUUAAACAAUAAAAAAGUCUUCGAUUUAU
rnacentral:lncRNA from 10 species